CUGAGCUCUCACUUCAGCCAUCCAAACUUAUGGUGUUCUUCCUAGAACCAUUAUAUCCAAACUAAAUAGAUCAAACUUUAAUGUUAGAGCUUUAAUACAAUAUCCUUCUCCAAGGCAUGAUACUGAAGAUGUAGAAAAGAGCAAGCAAGAAGUCAGCUUCAAGGUCCUGAAUCUCAUGGCCUUCAGUGCUCGUGAAAUGGUCGUUUGCUGCCCUUUGAGCACAGCCCAGACCUUUGAAUAUUUGAGAAUAUUGUUUCCCAAGAUGAAGAAAAAUAAUCAUUCAAUGUGUAUCUGUGAUUCUGCUGUCAGAGGCUUUUCUGCUUUCACUCAAGCUCAAUCCUGAGGUGGCUGUUAACUUCAGUAAAGAUGUCAAGACUGAGUGGCUGAAUUUGGGAACUGGGUUUUGUUCUCUUCACUGAAGCAGCUGGGAGCUGUUCCAAAAGGCAAGUGCAGAUGUAAAUGUAGCAUCCCUACAAUUAGCAUUUCCUAGAAGACUCUGAAGUGCCAAACCCAACUAUGAGAGCCAGGGCACAGAUAUGUUUGUGUGUUUUUUUUAAUUUUGUUUUGUUUGUUGUUGGUUUUUUGUUUGUGUGUUUUGUUUUGGUUUUUUUGGUAGGAAAAAUACUUUUGAAUGCUUUGAAACACUGAUAUAAAACUUGCCAUAGCUGCAAGAUUCCCUUCCCACUAACUGGAUUUUUUUUGGAUACAAAACUUUAUUCCCUUUUAAAAACUUUUUCUAACUAAGAAAGCAUUGGAUAUUCAUUAGGGAAGAGGUUUUUUUUCACUUGUCUAGUUCCUUUCUCAUUCUUAUUUCCACUUUUUAUACCAAGAUUCAAGAAGAGGUGGUAUGGUAUGAACUGAGGAAUGGGGAAAUGUGUGGAAAAAACCCUAAUAAUAUAAUUUGUAACCAAAAAGGAAAGAAUGAAAAUAGUGGUUUUCCCACUAAUUUACAUUACAGUUAAAUGGAAAGGGCAAAAAAGGAGGUAAAGGCUUCCUUUCAUGUUGUGAACAUUCUGAUUUUUGAGUUUCUCAGACUGUUUCUAUAGGGCUAAACUAUCACAUUUCCCAGAUGACAUUUCCUAAGGUCACUUCAUCCCAAGUCACAACAGGCUCUUCAGCAAUUGCUUUUCUAGUUCCUGUUUUUGACACUGUAAAACUUUGAUUCUGCUAUAAUUAUUAUAUUAAAAUGCAAAACCAAAAUCUUCAAAUAAGCAAAAUUUUCAGUUUGUUUUGAUGUACUUGGGCUAUUUAUGGGUUUUAGGAGCCAUUGUUUCAAUGUGAUUUCACCUUAUGAGCAGACACAUCAUUGAAGUUUGUCAGUGACAAGGUUAGAAAACCUUCUGAUCAAAAAUAAAAUUGAG
rnacentral:lncRNA from 1 species